CCCUUAGAUGUUCUGGGCCGCACGCGCGCUACACUGACGAAUGCAACGAGCUUAUAACCUUGGCCGAAAGGUCUGGGUAAUCUCCAAAUUUCGUCGUGAUGGGGAUAGAUUAUUGCAAUUAUUAAUCUUCAACGAGGAAUGCCUAGUAAGCGCAAGUCAUCAGCUUGCGUUGAUUACGCCCCUGCCCUUUGUACACACCGCCCGUCGCUCCUACCGAUUGGAUGGUCCGGUGAACUUUUUGGACUUGUAGCAAUGUUAUGAGAAAGUUAAGUAAACCUUAUCAUUUAGAGGAAGGAAAAGUCGUAACA
rnacentral:rRNA from 1 species